UAAUACGGAGGGUGCAAGCGUUAAUCGGAAUUACUGGGCGUAAAGCGCACGCAGGCGGUUUGUUAAGUCAGAUGUGAAAUCCCCGGGCUCAACCUGGGAACUGCAUUUGAAACUGGCAAGCUAGAGUCUCGUAGAGGGGGGUAGAAUUCCAGGUGUAGCGGUGAAAUGCGUAGAGAUCUGGAGGAAUACCGGUGGCGAAGGCGGCCCCCUGGACGAAGACUGACGCUCAGGUGCGAAAGCGUGGGGAGCAAACAGGAUUAGAUACCCUGGUAGUCCACGCUGUAAACGAUGUCGAUUUGGAGGUUGUGCCCUUGAGGCGUGGCUUCCGGAGCUAACGCGUUAAAUCGACCGCCUGGGGAGUACGGCCGUCAAGGUUA
rnacentral:rRNA from 1 species